GUAUUUAUUACUGGUAGAAGUAAUAGCAGUAGUAGUAUUACUGGUAGAAGUAAUAGCAGUAGUAGUAUUACUAGUAGAAGUAAUAGCAGUAGUAUUAUUACUGGUAGAAGUAAUAGCAGUAGUAGUAUUACUAGUAGAAGUAAUAGCAGUAGUAGUAGUAUUACUAGUAGAAGUAAUAGCAGUAGUAGUAUUACUGGUAGAAGUAAUAGCAGUAGUAGUAUUACUAGUAGAAGUAAUAGCAGUAGUAGUAUUACUAGUAGAAGUAAUAGCAGUAGUAGUAUUACUAGUAGAAGUAAUAGCAGUAGUAGUAUUACUAGUAGAAGUAAUAGCAGUAGUAGUAUUACUAGUAGAAGUAAUAGCAGUAGUAUUAUUACUGGUAGAAGUAAUAGCAGUAGUAGUAUUACUGGUAGAAGUAAUAGCAGUAUAUUUACUACUAGUAGAAGUAAUAGCAGUAGUAUUAUUACUAGUAGAAGUAAUAUCAGUAGUAGUAUUACUGGUAGAAGUAAUAGCAGUAGUAGUAUUACUAGUAGAAGUAAUAGCAGUAGUA
ensembl:lncRNA